rnacentral:rRNA from 1 species
GUGGGGAAUUUUGGACAAUGGGCGCAAGCCUGAUCCAGCAAUGCCGCGUGUGUGAAGAAGGCCUUCGGGUUGUAAAGCACUUUUGGCAGGAAAGAAAUAGCGCGUGCUAAUACCAUGCGCGAAUGACGGUACCUGCAGAAUAAGCACCGGCUAACUACGUGCCAGCAGCCGCGGUAAGACGUAGGGUGCAAGCGUUAAUCGGAAUUACUGGGCGUAAAGCGUGCGCAGGCGGUUUUGUAAGACAGGUGUGAAAUCCCCGGGCUCAACCUGGGAACUGCACUUGUGACUGCAAGGCUAGAGUGUGUCAGAGGGAGGUGGAAUUCCGCGUGUAGCAGUGAAAUGCGUAGAGAUGCGGAGGAACACCGAUGGCGAAGGCAGCCUCCUGGGAUAACACUGACGCUCAGGCACGAAAGCGUGGGGAGCAAACAGGAUUAGAAACCCCGGUAGUCC